GGCUUGGGGGAUAGGUGGUGAUCUUUAAGUCGUCCCUUUCCUUUAUAUAUUGUCACCAUAGCCAGAGUCGUAAGAGCCUUUCAUGUACCUAUCCUGCUUAGCCACAGUCUGCCUAGCUGCCUGACAUCCUAAAUGAGGUGCCAAGAGACAUGGCUGCAUAUGGUGAUGCUUUAUUUGCCACUUGGUCACAGGGACCAUUUUACAGUAUGUUACGAGAGCCAGGCUGGAUGAAUGCAACAGUCCUAAUGAUAAUCAGAAGCUUCAGGUAACACCAAGAGCUUGUUAAGGCCCAAGGGACUCAUUUAUACAUUUGAAGACACUUCAAACUAUGCGGUGAGUUACAUUUCUUUCUGAAGCAUUAAGUGAUUACAAUCCAUAUCUGAGGGAAAAAAGGACAUGGCGAUGAUGUUUUCAGAAGCUGAUCUCCAUGGCUAAAGGGAAUAUCUCCCCCUGCAUGAAAACCUCCUUGAGGAAUGAUUAAGCAAGCUGUUUUCAUCUACACUGAGUCACUUUCAGCAGACCUCUAACUGUGAGCAAAGAAUUGUGAAGACUGUUCUAGAGAGAAAUCAGCACAGUUCGACCAAGCCAGCCUGUAAAUGUACUUCCUUGCCCCUCUACAAACCAGCGUCUUUCAGUUAACACAGCUUUCAAAAGCAGUUGAUAUAAAUCACA